UGUCCCCUCCUCCUCGGAUUGCGUCACGGGCACAAAGGUUUGCAGCACCCCCUGCACUACCUCCUCGUCUCGUACUCUCGCGCUCUUGUUUCCUGCUUCUCUCUGUUUUUUUUUUUUUCGUUGCCAUAUUAUUAUAAUUUGUGUUUGUAUACUUUCGCCGUGCCACAUUGCUUUGUGGUGUGCCGGCUCUUGUGUAUGUCCUGACGACGCGUAUCGAAGUCGUGUGUGCGCUCGUCGCGGUCGUCGUGGGACUGUGAAGUUGUACGGCUUUGAAUGGACGAAGAAAUAGCGACGGGCAACGUUCUCUCGACCCCCCUCCCCUCCUUACUCCGGUAUUGUUCCCGUUGCGUUGGUUUUCGAUCACCGCCGUCUCAACGGUCGGCGUGUCGUUGGCGCAGCUUUUUGUGUGUAUGUGUGUGUGUGUACCUCUGUCUUUUUCCUCGACUCCUUAUCGUGCGCUUCGUAGGUUUUUUCUUUGCUCCUUUAGCUGAGGUUGCUCCUCUUUCUCUCCGUUGACCGGUAAGCAGCGCGGGCUGCUCGUUGUACUCGCGUUGUCUGUGGAAUAGCAGCACACCUGUCCCCUUCUUUCCUUCUCCGACAGUAACGUCAUAAGCGCGAUGCCGAACGUGUUUGUCACUGGCGCGGCUUACUUCAGCCGUGGCUUCGAUGCGCCCAUGGUGAAGGAGGACUUGGCGAGCCAAAACGAACCACGCCAGCUCUCAGCCCUCUACCAGGUUGUGGCGUACAUGACGAUGGGCAAGGACAUGUCGAGCCUCUUUAAUGAAGUCUCCGCGCUCACCUCCAGCGCAAACAGCACCAUGAAGCGACUGGCGUACUUGUACUUGAUGGAGAACAGCCGUGUGCAGCCGGAGCGUACGGUGCUGCAGGCUGGCACGUUCGUGAAGGACACCCUGCACGACUCACCGCUCGUCCGCGGCGCCGGCCUGCGUACCAUGACGGGUAUUCAACUGUCCGUCAUGGCCGACUUCGACACAGGCCCGCUCAGCCGCUGUCUGGAGGACAGCUCCGCGUAUGUGCGACGCAUCGCCGCGAUGGGCGUGCUGAAGCAGUACUCCAAGGCACCAAACGUGUCGUCUGCGUCGGAUCUGCUCGACAAGCUCAAGGGGCUGCUUAAGGACAAGAACGCCGCGGUCGCCGGGUCCGCGGUGCGAGCCAUGCUGGAGCUGCAGUACCGCAACGCGCCCGUCUCGUACAUCUACGCGCUGCUCGAGGCUCGCCCGCACCUGAUCGAGAUGCUGUUGCAUGGCAACGAGUGGACGACGGUGUACCUACUUGAGGGCCUCGCUAUUGCGAUGAUGUGGGAAUGCCACGAGGCGGUGGGCCGCGAGCGUCACCGCCGCCGCGGGCUUCAGCCUUCCGUAUCCUCGAGCACUGGCGUCCACAGCACCGCGGAGCUGGCUUCGACCGCGCUGCGGCCCGGCAGUCACCCCGCCGCGCACGGCGAAGACGAUGAUGAGCUUGAAACGCUUCGCCGACAGUACAUCGCCGAGGGCGAGGAGACACUGGAGGCGGUGCUGCCACUGAUGCAGUACGCAAGCCCCAUCAUUGUGCUCAGCGCCAUCCGAGUUGUCGGGCUCUUUUUGCAUUCGGUUACCGCAUCCCGUCUGCGCGUUCCGGAGGCGGAGCAGUCGCGGCUUUUGCAGCGCUAUACCACCUCUCUUGUUCAGCCGCUGGUAGAGCUGCUCGAGGCGCCGAGGUUUGAGAUGCAGUACGUGGUCCUGCGCAACAUCGCCCAGUUCCUGACACCUGUGUUCACACCGUACCUGGCUGCACAUCUUAGCAAGUUCCUCGUCAAGUUCGAGGAUCCUAUCUAUGUGAAGAUGGAGAAGCUAAAUCUCCUGGUGCGCUUCGCCAACAGCGAGAACGGCUUGCGCGUGUUAGAUGAGCUCAUGGUGUACACCCGCGAGGCAGACGUCGCGCUGGUGCGCACGGCCAUCAACGCCAUUGGCGUGCUGGCCACAAUGCUUCCAGAGCUGUCGGAGGAGUGCGUGCGCCAGCUGGGGCAGCUCAUUGCCACGCGUGUGCCGCACUUGGUGGAGGACACGGUUGUCGUGGUGCAGAUGGUGCUGCGCUGCUACCCGGGUAAGUUCACCGACAUCAUACCGCCUUUGUGCGCCUCACUGACAAUUUUGGGGGCGACAGAGGCAAAGGCGGCGGUGGCGUGGGUGCUCGGUGAGUACCCCGACAGCGUCUCCGAGUCCGUCAUCGAGUACCUUUCGGUGCUGGUGAACCAGUUCAUGCAGCAGCCGCGCCUCGUCCAGUGCGCCACCAUGACGGCACUGGCAAAGCUGUACCUGCGCAGCGCUCGCCAUGCACCGGGCAAGGACAGCAACAGCGCCAUCAAGAACGGGGCGCAGGCCAUGCUGGAGAAGGUGUUGAGCGCGUGCACGGACUCGCUGUACCCCGACCUGCGCGAUCGCGCUUUCUUCUACUGGCGCCUCAUCACCCUGGACCCGGAUGUGGCGAAGCGCAUGCUCACGACCACGGAGGCGGUAAAGCUCGGCGCCAACUCCUGGGACGAGCUUGGUCACUACUCCUCCCAGCAGCCGGGCACCGGUAGCGGCCUGCAGGAGCUCGGCACGCUCGCCUCUGUUACGUCCAAGCCGCUCCGCCUGCUCAUCGGAGACAACGUGAUUGGCAGCUCAAACAAGUGCUUGGUUGGCGUCAACGACGAUGAGGACACCAAUAGCGGUGAGGAAGGCGACAACAAUGAAGCUAACGGGUACACCGGCGGCAGCAGCAACGGGUCUGCUGCGGCAAAGGUGCCGUUGGCCACGGCUGCCAACACUUCCUUGACGACCGCUCACGGCGCCGCGGCGACCGUGCUGCCCUCGAGUGAGACCACCACGACCUUCUCGACGGUGCUGACUCCCGCGCAAGGCAACGGUGUGCAGGUGGAGAUGAUGUGGUCGCAGUCGGGCUCGAAGCUGGUGUUGUGCUCUCGUCUGCGCCUCGUGGCUGGCGAGGACUACAUGCACCACACCCGCGUGCUCACGAUGCAGAUCAACUGGAACAUGUUCGGCCUUGGUGUGGCGCAGGUGUUCCCCACGACGUCGCUCGAGUGCGAUGACAAGCCGACAGAGGUGAGCGUGCUGGUCGCGUGCAACAACAGGAAGUCGCCGACAGCGGAGCUUCAAGUGGCCAUUGAGCUAGAGUGCAUUGGAGUACGCUACGUGCUGGCACCGCCGAUCCCGACAGCCUACCUUCUGCUCCCUGCGACCGGGUGCGAGCCGCAUUUCUUUGCCGAGCAAUGGCGUGCGCUCGGCCACUCCGUGUGGGACAUGCCCCCGCAGCUGCAGGAGCUCAAGUCUGACCCGACGCGGUUGACGACGAACUUGCUGCGCGUGUACUGCUUGAAUCUGGUCCACCGACGCGAGCUACCGGCGAAGGGGCUUUUGGUGCUUCUCCUAUACUGCGAAACGAUUGGCCAUGAGCGUCUGCUGGCUCAGGCGACGCUGAACGUGAGGGGAAGCACACUGAUAGCGCUCAGCGUGCGUUCUGCUGACACUCCGGUUGCUGCCUAUGUAGGCGAGUUCAUUAUGCGCGCCUUGUGUCCGCUAUCGACGGACUGACGCACGUGGAUGGGCUGACGUUUUCUUUUUUUUCUGUCGAUAACGCUGCACCACCUAUCCCUGCCAGUGCUCAACCGCUUCUCGUGGCGGCAGGGCGUGAGGUCCUGGACGGCGUUGCGUGGGGGAGGGGCGACCUGCCAGGGCGAACACGCUUCUGCGAUCGAUAUGGUGGGCAGAGCGUCGGCGUGACUCGAGCGUCUCCCACCCCCGGCCCUCACACUGUCUACUGGCGUGGGGGUGCCUGAGUGCCACCCGCGAGGAGGAUGCACGACGUGGCGACCUGCCUGAUGGGGGAGCGGCUGUGAGGCGACAUGCGAGGCGGCGGAUUUGUAGAGUCUGGGGCAGAGGCCGUGCUGCGAUGACUGGGUCCGCAUCGCUGUAACGCGCGUGUCUAGGGCUGCUGCGCGCGACGUGAUGGGCGCCUGUGGGGCAGGCCGUGUGGUGGUGGUGGUGGUGUCGAGGGGAGCACUGACCUCAUGCUGUAUGGCAGAGAAUGACCACGCGAGAGAAAGAAGAGCUUCUACGGCUGGACUGGCUGGCGCGCAUUGCCAUGCCUGUGUGCGUGUGAGUGCGUGUCUAUCGCAACUCUUCUCCUCCCCUCUCUCGCCCAGUCGUUUCUUGGAGGAUGCGUGUUGAAGGGAAAGACUGAGUCACCGGUAGCGGCCAGAGGUGGCGAGCGCCUCACAUGCGCCCGUGUGCGUAUCGCUAUACCUAUUGCAUGCACACAACUUUCUGUGUCUCUGUUCGCUUGCGCGUGUGUCUCUCCUCCGCCUUCCGCGGAGCCUUGCGCGAGUAGGUGUGCAUUCAUCGAUGAUGACGGUGCUCGCUGCUGUGCAGUUGCUAGCGCUGUUUGAAGGGCACAUAUACGUGCAAGCAACGAUACGGAGAUAGGCAAGCAGUCGCGGAACUAGCGCCACGGGUAGCAAGGUCGGCGUGGAAGCUGCCUUGUGCGAGGGAGACAAACCAAAAGAAAAUCACGGGGUGUCCUCGCUAUAGAGCUUCGGAAGUGGGAGGGGCGUAAUCGCCAUCUCACUGUGUCUUCGAUGCCUG
rnacentral:misc_RNA from 1 species